ACAUUUCCACCUGGCUGGGGAGGCCUCACAAUCAUGGCAGAAGGCAAGGAGGAGCAAGUCAUAGCAAGUCUUACAUGGAUGGCAGCAGGCAAAGAGAGGGCUUAUGCAGAGAAAGUCCCAUUUU